GGAUGUGUAGCUCAGUUGGUUAGAGCGCUUCGUUCACAUCGAAGAGGUCGUUGGUUCAAGUCCAAUCACAUCCACCA
rnacentral:tRNA from 1 species